rnacentral:rRNA from 1 species
GACGAACCGUGCGAACGUUGUUCGGAAUCACUGGGCUUAAAGGGCGCGUAGGCGGGCCGGCCAGUCAGGGGUGAAAGCCCGCGGCUCAACCGCGGAAGGGCCUUUGAUACUGCCGGCCUCGAGCGAGGUAGGGGCGUGCGGAACUUCCGGUGGAGCGGUGAAAUGCGUAGAUAUCGGAAGGAACACCGGUGGCGAAAGCGGCGCGCUGGACCUCUUCUGACGCUGAGGCGCGAAAGCCAGGGGAGCAAACGGG